rnacentral:rRNA from 1 species
UGCAGUCGAACGGCAGCGGGUCCUUCGGGAUGCCGGCGAGUGGCGAACGGGUGAGUAAUGCAUCGGAACGUGCCCAGUCGUGGGGGAUAACGCAGCGAAAGUUGUGCUAAUACCGCAUACGACCUGAGGGUGAAAGCGGGGGACCGAAAGGCCUCGCGCGAUUGGAGCGGCCGAUGUCUGAUUAGCUAGUUGGUGGGGUAAAGGCCUACCAAGGCGACGAUCAGUAGCGGGUCUGAGAGGAUGAUCCGCCACACUGGGACUGAGACACGGCCCAGACUCCUACGGGAGGCAGCAGUGGGGAAUUUUGGACAAUGGGCGCAAGCCUGAUCCAGCCAUUCCGCGUGAGUGAAGAAGGCCUUCGGGUUGUAAAGCUCUCUCAGUCGGAACGAAACGGUGCGCUCUAACAUAGCGUGCUAAUGACGGUACUGACAGAAGAAGCACCGGCUAACUACGUGCCAGCAGCCGCGGUAAUACGUAGGGUGCGAGCGUUAAUCGGAAUUACUGGGCGUAAAGCGUGCGCAGGCGGAUUGUUAAGCAAGACGUGAAAUCCCCGGGCUUAACCUGGGAAUGGCGUUUUGAACUGGCAGUCUAGAGUGCGUCAGAGGGGGGUGGAAUUCCACGUGUAGCAGUGAAAUGCGUAGAGAUGUGGAGGAACACCGAUGGCGAAGGCAGCCCCCUGGGAUGACACUGACGCUCAUGUACGAAAGCGUGGGUAGCAAACAGGAUUAGAUACCCUGGUAGUCCACGCCCUAAACGAUGUCAACUGGUUGUUGGGGGGAGUGAAAUCCCUUAGUAACGAAGCUAACGCGUGAAGUUGACCGCCUGGGGAGUACGGUCGCAAGAUUAAAACUCAAAGGAAUUGACGGGGACCCGCACAAGCGGUGGAUGAUGUGGAUUAAUUCGAUGCAACGCGAAAAACCUUACCUACCCUUGACAUGUCCGGAAUCCUGCUGAGAGGUGGGAGUGCCCGAAAGGGAAUCGGAACACAGGUGCUGCAUGGCUGUCGUCAGCUCGUGUCGUGAGAUGUUGGGUUAAGUCCCGCAACGAGCGCAACCCUUAUCAUUAGUUGCUACGCAAGGGCACUCUAAUGAGACUGCCGGUGACAAACCGGAGGAAGGUGGGGAUGACGUCAAGUCCUCAUGGCCCUUAUGGGUAGGGCUUCACACGUCAUACAAUGGUCGGUACAGAGGGUUGCCAAGCCGCGAGGUGGAGCCAAUCCCAGAAAGCCGAUCGUAGUCCGGAUUGUUCUCUGCAACUCGAGAGCAUGAAGUCGGAAUCGCUAGUAGUCGCGGAUCAGCAUGUCGCGGUGAAUACGUUCCCGGGUCUUGUACACACCGCCCGUCACACCAUGGGAGUGGAAUCUGGCAGAAGUAGGUAGCCUAACCGCAAGGGGGCGCUAUC